AACGAACGCUGGCGGCAUGCCUAACACAUGCAAGUCGAACGAGACCUUCUGGUCUAGUGGCGCACGGGUGCGUAACGCGUGGGAACCUGCCCUUAGGUUCGGAAUAACUCCCCGAAAGGGGUGCUAAUACCGGAUAAUGUCUUCGGACCAAAGAUUUAUCGCCUUUGGAUGGGCCCGCGUUGGAUUAGCUAGUUGGUAGGGUAAAAGCCUACCAAGGCGACGAUCCAUAGCUGGUCUGAGAGGAUGAUCAGCCACACUGGGACUGAGACACGGCCCAGACUCCUACGGGAGGAAGCAGUGGGGAAUAUUGGACAAUGGGCGAAAGCCUGAUCCAGCAAUGCCGCGUGAGUGAUGAAGGCCUUAGGGUUGUAAAGCUCUUUUACCCGGGAUGAUAAUGACAGUACCGGGAGAAUAAGCUCCGGCUAACUCCGUG
rnacentral:rRNA from 1 species